CAGUCGCCGCGGUAAAACGGAGGGUGCAAGCGUUGUUCGGAAUUACUGGGCGUAAAGCGCGCGUAGGCGGUUACUCAAGUCAGAGGUGAAAGCCCGGGGCUCAACCCCGGAACUGCCUUUGAAACAAGGUGACUAGAAUCUUGGAGAGGUCAGUGGAAUUCCGAGUGUAGAGGUGAAGUUCGUAGAUAUUCGGAAGAACACCAGUGGCGAAGGCGACUGACUGGACAAGUAUUGACGCUGAGGUGCGAAAGCGUGGGGAGCAAACAGGAUUAGAUACCCCCGUAGUCCCUGUCUCUUAUAC
rnacentral:rRNA from 1 species